GAUGAACGCUAGCUACAGGCUUAACACAUGCAAGUCCAGGGGCAGCAUUUCAGUUUGCUUGCAAACUGGAGAUGGCGACCGGCGCACGGGUGAGUAACACGUAUCCAACCUGCCGAUAACUCGGGGAUAGCCUUUCGAAAGAAAGAUUAAUACCCGAUGGUAUAAUCAGACCGCAUGGUCUUGUUAUUAAAGAAUUUCGGUUAUCGAUGGGGAUGCGUUCCAUUAGGCAGUUGGUGAGGUAACGGCUCACCAAACCUUCGAUGGAUAGGGGUUCUGAGAGGAAGGUCCCCCACAUUGGAACUGAGACACGGUCCAAACUCCUACGGGAGGCAGCAGUGAGGAAUAUUGGUCAAUGGGCGCAGGCCUGAACCAGCCAAGUAGCGUGAAGGAUGACUGCCCUAUGGGUUGUAAACUUCUUUUAUAUGGGAAUAAAGUUUUCCACGUGUGGAAUUUUGUAUGUACCAUAUGAAUAAGGAUCGGCUAACUCCGUGCCAGCAGCCGCGGUAAUACGGAGGAUCCGAGCGUUAUCCGGAUUUAUUGGGUUUAAAGGGAGCGUAGGUGGACAGUUAAGUCAGUUGUGAAAGUUUGCGGCUCAACCGUAAAAUUGCAGUUGAUACUGGCUGUCUUGAGUACAGUAGAGGUGGGCGGAAUUCGUGGUGUAGCGGUGAAAUGCUUAGAUAUCACGAAGAACUCCGAUUGCGAAGGCAGCUCACUGGACUGCAACUGACACUGAUGCUCGAAAGUGUGGGUAUCAAACAGGAUUAGAUACCCUGGUAGUCCACACAGUAAACGAUGAAUACUCGCUGUUUGCGAUAUACAGUAAGCGGCCAAGCGAAAGCAUUAAGUAUUCCACCUGGGGAGUACGCCGGCAACGGUGAAACUCAAAGGAAUUGACGGGGGCCCGCACAAGCGGAGGAACAUGUGGUUUAAUUCGAUGAUACGCGAGGAACCUUACCCGGGCUUAAAUUGCAUUUGAAUAUAUUGGAAACAGUAUAGCCGUAAGGCAAAUGUGAAGGUGCUGCAUGGUUGUCGUCAGCUCGUGCCGUGAGGUGUCGGCUUAAGUGCCAUAACGAGCGCAACCCUUAUCUUUAGUUACUAACAGGUCAUGCUGAGGACUCUAGAGAGACUGCCGUCGUAAGAUGUGAGGAAGGUGGGGAUGACGUCAAAUCAGCACGGCCCUUACGUCCGGGGCUACACACGUGUUACAAUGGGGGGUACAGAAGGCAGCUACCUGGUGACAGGAUGCUAAUCCCAAAAGCCUCUCUCAGUUCGGAUCGAAGUCUGCAACCCGACUUCGUGAAGCUGGAUUCGCUAGUAAUCGCGCAUCAGCCAUGGCGCGGUGAAUACGUUCCCGGGCCU
rnacentral:rRNA from 1 species